rnacentral:lncRNA from 1 species
CAAGUGUUUCAGCUUGUUUUUCUGAGUUGCUGUUAAUUCAGGCAGGUUAUCUUUGUUUGCUACGUAGUCUGGGUACGUUCCAUAUGCAAACAGGUUCAGCAACUGGAAAUAAGCAGCAUUAGACCCUUCAGCAAGCUCUUGCACAUUUGUUAACUCCAACAGCUCUCCAAAGACAUAAACCCCAGGAGCCUCCAGCACUUGGUUUAUGAGAGCAGUCAGAGCUGAGCCACUUGUACCUUUGGCUAGUAAAAUAAACUGCUCUAGAAGAUUGCAGGACGGUUUCUGUUCUCCAGCCAUUCUAAGUUUUUC